AGGAUGAACGCUGGCGGCGUGCCUAACACAUGCAAGUCGAACGUCCUGUCUCGCAAGAGGCAGGGAGUGGCGGACGGGUGAGUACCACGUGGGUCAUCUACCGUGAGGUGAGGAAUACCGGCGAGAAAUCGCCGACAAGACCGCAUAGGCUCGAUGCAAGUCGAGCAAAGCUCUUUCGAGAGAGGGAGCGCCACACGAGGAGCCUGCGCCCGAUUAGCUAGCUGGUGGAGUAAUGGUUCACCAGGGCGACGAUCGGUAGCUGGUCUGAGAGGACGAUCAGCCACACUGGGAUUGAGAACGGCCCAGACUCCUACGGGGGGCAGCAGUGAGGAAUUUUCGUCAAUGGGGGCAACCCUGAACGAGCAACGCCGCGUGCAGGAGAAGGUUUUCGGAUCGUAACUGCUUUUCUCGGGGAAGAGAACGGACGGUACCCGAGGAAUCAGCCCCGGCUAACUACGUGCCAGCAGCCGC
rnacentral:rRNA from 1 species